AGAAUCUUUCGCAAUGGGCGCAAGCCUGACGGAGCGACGCCGCGUGGGGGAUGACUGGCUUCGGCCUGUAAACCCCUGUCAUUUGUGAACAAGGUCCUUGGUCGAAUAAAUCAAGGGUUUGAUAGUAGCAAACGAGGAAGGGACGGCUAACUCUGUGCCAGCAGCCGCGGUAAUACAGAGGUCCCAAGCGUUGUUCGGAUUCACUGGGCGUAAAGGGUGCGUAGGUGGCGAGGUAAGUUCGAUGUGAAAGCUCCGGGCUCAACCCGGAAAUUGCAUUGAAAACUAUCUGGCUAGAGGAUUGGAAGGGGGACUGGAAUUCUCGGUGUAGCAGUGAAAUGCGUAGAUAUCGAGAGGAACACCAGUGGCGAAGGCGAGUCCCUGGACAAUUCCUGACACUGAGGCACGAAAGCUAGGGGAGCAAAC
rnacentral:rRNA from 1 species